rnacentral:rRNA from 1 species
UACGGAGGGUGCAAGCGUUAUCCGGAUUCACUGGGUUUAAAGGGUGUGUAGGCGGGUUGGUAAGUCCGUGGUGAAAUCUCCAAGCUUAACUUGGAAACUGCCGUGGAUACUAUCAAUCUUGAAUGUCGUAGAGGUAAGCGGAAUAUGUCAUGUAGCGGUGAAAUGCUUAGAGAUGACAUAGAACACCGAUUGCGUAGGCAGCUUACUACACGAAUAUUGACGCUGAGGCACGAAAGCGUGGGGAGCAAACAGG